rnacentral:rRNA from 1 species
UACAGAGGGGGGCAAGCGUUGUUCGGAAUUACUGGGCGUAAAGGGCGCGUAGGCGGCCUUCUAAGUCGAACGUGAAAUCCCCGGGCUCAACCCGGGAACUGCGUCCGAGACUGGAAGGCUCGAAUCCGGGAGAGGGAUGUGGAAUUCCAGGUGUAGCGGUGAAAUGCGUAGAUAUCUGGAGGAACAUCGGUGGCGAAGGCGGCAUCCUGGACCGGUAUUGACGCUGAGGCGCGAAAGCCAGGGGAGCAAAGCGGG